GCCACCAGAUAACAGUAUCAAGUUCAAAGGUUAUGUUUUAGGCUUGGAAUCAUUUUUGAGAGUAAUAGUGCUUUACAAGCCUUUGAUUCAAGAAAAAAAUGUGGAGUGAUAAAUGUUUAGACAAGCACAAGAGAAAUAUAUUUCCAAGACAACAAAAUAAAUCAGCUGUCAAAAACUAGAUCAAAUACUGAGACCUACCAUAUUUAAGUUA
rnacentral:misc_RNA from 1 species